UUAUCAUUGGCUUAAAUUACGAUAUUCUAAAUUAAAAUUUUAAUUAAUUUUAAUUGAAAUAAUUAAAAUAAAAUUAAAAUUUUAAUAAAUUAGGCUAAAUUUAUGCUAAAAUUCAGCCGUCAUCAUACGAUUCAAGUUUUUCCUUCUCCUACCAAACUCUGCCGAAACACUGACUUCAUCUUGUUCCUAAGAGUACCAAGUUACAGCCGACUUCAUCUUCCUCUUCACCGAUGUCAUCCUCUUCCACCGACGUUAUCUUCUUCCUUCACUUGAUUGCCCAAGGUUGAUCUUUCAAAUGAUUGUAUAGGACAAAGAUAAAAGGAUGGUGACUUCAACUUUAUAAGUGCAGAUAUCAAGAGGCAGCCCUAUAUAAUCGCAUUUACUUUUCUGCCUAUUGGAUCUGAAGAAUUCUGGAAAUGCUUUUUUUUGCGAGUUACUAUUGUUAUUAAAAAUGAUCUUAUUAUCUAAAUAUUUGAUUUUUUAUUAAUAUUGAUCUAGAUACUAGAUAUUUGAUUGUUAAUUAUAUUUUAAUUUAGAUAUUUACUUUUACGAUUACUACGAACUUCUUUUUAGUUAAUUCAAAUGAAAUUAUUGAUUUCA